UAGAAGGAAUGCACAUUUAUUUUGGUUUGUCAGGCCUAUUGAUCUGAUCGAAUGUUUAACAGGUAUGUGGAACAGCUGGUUGGUAGUGCAGAGGCUGCAAUUGAGGAAGUUGUAUGGCUGAGGGGUGGCUCAUCCAAAUAAAAUUGUUGUUGGGGGUCAUUCCUAUGGGGCAUUCAUGAUGCGAACCACCUAGGACAUGCUCCCCCCACCUUUUCUGCUGUGGAAUUGUUUGUUCUAAAGUGUACAACAGAACGCUUACUUCUUUUAAUUUUCAGAAUGAAGAUAGAACACUUUGGGAAGCUACUAAUACUUAUGUUGAGAUGAGCCCCUUCAUGUCAGCUAACAAAAUCAAGAAAGUGAUUUUACCUAUGCAUGGAGGAGAAGACAACAAUCCA